UCUAACGUGGCAGAUAAGUGCAUUGGAUUUAAGCUCCACCUAUAAAGCCCGGGGCUUUCAUUAGAA
rnacentral:tRNA from 1 species